UACGAAGGGGGCUAGCGUUGCUCGGAAUCACUGGGCGUAAAGCGCACGUAGGCGGACUCUUAAGUCGGUGGUGAAAUCCUGGAGCUCAACUCCAGAACUGCCUUCGAUACUGGGAGUCUUGAGUCCGGGAGAGGUGAGUGGAACUGCGAGUGUAGAGGUGAAAUUCGUAGAUAUUCGCAAGAACACCAGUGGCGAAGGCGGCUCACUGGCCCGUAACUGACGCUGAGGCACGAAAGCGUGGGGAGCAAACAGG
rnacentral:rRNA from 1 species